rnacentral:rRNA from 1 species
ACGAAACGUUGGCAGGCGUGGAUUAGGCAUGCAAGUCGGGGGAAUCCCAGCAAUGGGGGAACCGGCGUAAGGGGCAGUAAGGCGUGGGUACCUACCCUGGGGUUCGGGAUAGCCGUCUGAGGAAGGCGGGUAAUACCGGAUGAUCUCGGGAGAGCAAAGAUUCAUCGCCCUGGGAGGGGCCCACUGUGAUAUUAGCUAGUUGGUGAGGUAACGGCUCACCAAGGCGGAGAUGUCUAGCGGGUGUGAGAGCACGACCCGCGCCACUGGCACUGAGACACUGGCCAGACACCUACGGGUGGCUGCAGUCGAGGAUCUUCGGCAAUGAGCGCAAGCUUGACCGAGCGACGCCGCGUGUGCGACGAAGGGCCUUCGGGUUGUAAAGCACUGUCGAGGGGGAGAAAACCCGCAAGGGUUGAUCUAUCCCUGGAGGAAGCACCGGGCUAAGUUCGUGCCAGCAAGCCGCGGUAAGACGAACCGUGCGAACGUUGUUCGGAAUCACUGGGCUUAAAGGGCGCGUAGGCGGAUUGCCGCGUCCGGGGUGAAAUCCUCCGGCUCAACCGGGGGAACGGCCUCGGAUACGGGCGGUCUCGAGGGAGGUAGGGGCAUCGGGAACUGUGAGUGGAGCGGUGAAAUGCGUUGAUAUUCACAGGAACUCCGGUGGCGAAGGCGCGGUGCUGGACCUCAUCUGACGCUGAGGCGCGAAAGCCAGGGAGAGCGAACGGGAUUAGAUACCCCGGUAGUCCUGGCCCUAAACGAUGGGUACUAGGUAGUAGGCCGGACAUGGGCUUACUGCCGGAGCUAAAGUGCUAAGUACCCUACCGCGCCUGGGGAGUAUUGGUCGCAAUGGCUGAAACCUCAAAGGAAUUGACGGGGGCUCACACAAGCGGUGGAAGCAUGUGGCUUAAUUCGAGGCUACGCGAAGAACCUUAUCCUGGACUUGACAUGUGCGAAAGCGCCCGCAGGUAGGUACCCGGAAACGGGAGCGAACGGUAUCCAAUCCGGAAGCGGGUACAGGUGCUGCAUUGGCUGUCGUCAGCUCGUGUCGUGAGAUGUCGGGUAAAGUCCCAUAACGAGCGAAACCCUUACCCUGAGUUGCUACCCUAACGGGCGCACUCUCUCGGGGGACUGCCCGGUGUCAAACCGGAGGAAGGCGGGGAUGACGUCAAGUCCUCAUGGCCUUUAUGUCCAGGGCUGCACACGCUGCUACAAAUGGCGUGAACAGACUGAUGCGACAGCGCGCGAGCCGGAGCCAAUCACCAAAGCACGCCCCAGUUCAGAUCGCAGGCUUGCAACUCGCCUGCGUGAAGCCGGAAUCGCUAGUAAUCACGGGUCAGCAACACCGCGGUGAAUGUGUUCCUGAGCCUUGUACACACCGCCCGUCAAGCCACGAAAGGGGGGGAGCCGACGAAGCCGCCUCACGGCGUCGAAUCGGAUACCCCCUGAUUGGGACU